GCCUGGGUGGCUCAGUCGGUUAAGCAUCUGACUUCAGCUCAGGGCAUGAUCUCAUGGUCUGUGAGUUCGAGUCCCGCGUCGGGCU
rfam:Felis catus breed Abyssinian Contig159460.1, whole genome shotgun sequence. [26-MAY-2016]